GAUACCGCGUCCCCGUAUCCGUAUCCAUCCAAUUUAGGUAUAAUAUAAAUUUAGAGAUAGGUUUUCAAAUUUGUUUUCUUUUUUCUUCUUCUCAAUCUCUCUCCCGAUCUAAAGAAAAGAACUAUUUCUCUCACUCAAGAUUUCUUCUGUAGUUAAUGGCGUCUGUGGCAUCUGCUUCUCGAUUAUCUGUUUCUCAAGAUCCACCUCCAAUUGAUUUCUCUCGUUUAGGAUGGGGGUCGAUAGGGUUCACCGCCAGCAGAAGCGGUCCCAACUUUGAUGGUAGUUUUGUUGGUGACUCUGCACAUCAGCACGUGAUUAAGUUUGAGGGUAACAAAUUCACUGUGGACGGCGUCCCUGAACGAGAUAUUAAGGAUCCUGAUAGCAUCAAGUUUUUGGAGGUAACAUUAGCUUCUCAUCAUCAAGAGCAUCAGUAGGUACGAAAUUCCUGAAGAAUUUGCGGAACAGGGAUUGCAUACUAUUCAGGUGUUACGAUCCCGUAAAAUUGUCCCCGACACCAGCUACGAGGAGUAUGUUCAUCGUAUGUGCCUUUGAGGAGUUUUUUAAGCUUAUGUGGCUCGAGCUAAAGAUGUGGCUUUGAAUCUUACAUGUUAUCAGGGGUGAUAUCUAGCUUUACUAGUAUAGUGUUUGUUGUACUGGGUGUUGGUUGUAACUUUUACAGUUUUCUGGACACCAUUAAGCACUUAUCUAUUUAAAGUAAUUUUAUAAAAAAAAAAUUCAACCUCUUGCAA